rnacentral:rRNA from 1 species
UGGGGAAUUUUGGACAAUGGGCGAAAGCCUGAUCCAGCAAUGCCGCGUGUGCGAAGAAGGCCUUCGGGUUGUAAAGCACUUUUGUCCGGAAAGAAAUCCGCCUGGCCAAUACCCGGGCGGGAUGACGGUACCGGAAGAAUAAGCACCGGCUAACUACGUGCCAGCAGCCGCGGUAAUACGUAGGGUGCGAGCGUUAAUCGGAAUUACUGGGCGUAAAGCGUGCGCAGGCGGCUUUGUAAGACAGAUGUGAAAUCCCCGGGCUCAACCUGGGAACUGCAUUUGUGACUGCAAGGCUAGAGUGCGUCAGAGGUCGGUGUAAUUCCGCGUGUAGCAGUGAAAUGCGUAGAGAUGCGGAGGAACACCGAUGGCGAAGGCAGCCUCCUGGGAUGACACUGACGCUCAUGCACGAAAGCGUGGGGAGCAAACA